CGCUGGCUGGCCUCGGAAAUGGAAAGGGAUCUGAACAAGACCUCGUCCUGGGACUGCAGAUCAGUCCAGGUGCCACGACCUUAGGCCAACAUCCCCGGCAUCUCCAACCAUCUCCGUACUUCUUUUCUAGUCUGAGGAAACGUGCACCAAAGAUAGUUCAACUAAAACAGCCACCCGGCGCGGAGAUCUAGACUUCAGUGUUGGAGGAUCUGUAGGACAACGAGGGUUUUUUUUUUCCCCACGAGGAAAAGUUACACCAUCCUUUCCCUCCCCUGUGUGGAGGAAUCGUGUGCCCUUUUCUCCUCAAAUCUGGCGCGAGAUAAGCCACUGUCCCUGACCCAUCCCACCCCCACUUGGGCUCCGGGUGUGGACAGGGCGGGAGAAAAACUAUAUGGAAGCUUAAAGCAUGAGGUCAUGGGUUGAAGAGGCUGCUGCCAAAAGCCGCGGAGGUGAGUCACCCAGUGAACCUAGAGCUCACAGAUGAGUUAAAUGAGAUGAUCAGCAAACCCCAGGGCCCCUCCCAUCUUCACCUCCCCGGGCUGGCAUUACAGGCGCACACCACCAGACUCAGAACUUCAGAAUUACUGCCACCCUCAGCUGACAGAUGCAAACUGAAAUGGAAGCUGAGAGAGCUUUAUGAGACGUUCACCGAUUUCCCGCCAGAUCAACCUGAACACCAGUCCUUUUCCCUGAACUCCACCCUUGUCAAUUCUUUGCAAAGUGGGGAAAAUUCUAGAAGCCUGAGAAGGAACACCACGUCCACAGAUGCAGCCAAUGUCCUGGUCUCCUCCACACAGCUUCUCCCCUCUCCCCAGCCUGGGAUGGAAGAAGACACACAGUGUCCCGAGAGUUGGCUUUCCAAAGGGAAAGUUCACUUCUGAGGCCACUCGGGCUCUUUGCCUAUCUCAGAGACAGAUCGGAACUGCAUGAAAAAUAGAAGUGCAGCCAAUUUGUAACCAAAGGAAAUGUUUUAGACCCGGUCAUCUUUGGUGGAUUGUACUGGGAGACAUUUUUUUGUGUUCUGAAGUUAAACAGCUGGAAUUAUUUUUUAAUUAAGUUUAAUUAAAAAAAAUAUAUGUGCAUUGGU